rnacentral:pre_miRNA from 1 species
CGUGCACUGGUGGGGUCCCUUGGCCUGGCCUGCGCCCUCACAAUCUGGGACUCCUUGGGAUGUUGGAGGCCUGGUGCACGGAUUCAGCCCAAUCCCUGCAGGCCAGGCCGAGGGACUCCACCGGUGCACA